rnacentral:lncRNA from 1 species
UGGCUCACCCACGGCCACAUAAGCAAAACUCAUAAAUUCUAUGGCUGCAAUGGCUCCUGCAAUCGCUCCUUUGCCAGCUCCAUCAAGAAAACCAACUUCUGUGGUUUGUCCUUUGAUAGCUCCUGUUAUAGUUCCUAUUAUCGACCCUCCUAAGUGCUAAAAUGCAGGUGAAUGUAGCAAAAAGAACCUUCUCCAGAACGUUCAUGAAUUGCUCAAAUACAGAACAUCCAAUGGCAUUCAAUGCCUUCAAAGAAAGAACUUCCUUACACUUAGUUAUUGCUUCUAUUGU